GUCCACGCCGUAAACGAUGGGCACUAGGUGCUUCGGGGAGCGACCCUCGGAGUGCCGGCGCUAACGCAUUAAGUGCCCCGCCUGGGGAGUACGGCCGCAAGGCUGAAACUCAAAGGAAUUGACGGGGGCCCCGCACAAGCAGUGGAGCAUGUGGUUUAAUUCGACGCAACGCGAAGAACCUUACCUGCGCUUGACAUGUACGGGAAACCUGCCAGAAACGGCAGGCCUCCUUCGGGACCCGUGCACAGGUGCUGCAUGGCUGUCGU
rnacentral:rRNA from 1 species